GAUGAACGCUGGCGGCGUGCCUAAUACAUGCAAGUCGAGCGAACGGACGAGAAGCUUGCUUCUCUGAUGUUAGCGGCGGACGGGUGAGUAACACGUGGAUAACCUACCUAUAAGACUGGGAUAACUUCGGGAAACCGGAGCUAAUACCGGAUAAUAUUUUGAACCGCAUGGUUCAAAAGUGAAAGACGGUCUUGCUGUCACUUAUAGAUGGAUCCGCGCUGCAUUAGCUAGUUGGUAAGGUAACGGCUUACCAAGGCAACGAUGCAUAGCCGACCUGAGAGGGGGAUCGGCAACACAGGGACUGAGAAAAGGUGAAGAGUACUAAGGGAGGCAGAAGUAGGGAAUCUUACGGAAUGGGAGAAAGCCGGAAGGAGAAAAGAAGAGGGAGUGAGGAAGGUAUUAGGAUCGUAAAAAUAUGGUAUGAGGGAAGAACAUAUGUGUAAGGAACAGUGCAAAUCGUGAAGGGAAAUAAUCAGAAAGCCAAGGCUAACUAAGGG
rnacentral:rRNA from 1 species